UACAGAGGUCUCAAGCGUUGUUCGGAUUCAUUGGGCGUAAAGGGUGCGUAGGUGGCGGGGUAAGUCAGGUGUGAAAUCUCGAGGCUCAACCUCGAAACUGCACUUGAUACUGCCUUGCUCGAGUACUGGAGAGGAGAUUGGAAUUUACGGUGUAGCAGUGAAAUGCGUAGAUAUCGUAAGGAAGACCAGUGGCGAAGGCGAAUCUCUGGACAGUUACUGACGCUGAGGCACGAAGGCCAGGGGAGCAAACGGG
rnacentral:rRNA from 1 species